GCCUUCGUGAUGUAGUGGUCAGCACGCUCGACGCGUAACCGAGAGGUCCGUGGUUCGAUUCCUGGCGAAGGCG
rnacentral:tRNA from 1 species